rnacentral:rRNA from 1 species
UACGUAGGGGGCUAGCGUUGUCCGGAUUUAUUGGGCGUAAAGAGCGUGUAGGCGGCCAGGUAGGUCUGCUGUGAAAACUCGAGGCUCAACCUCGAGACGUCGGCGGAAACCAUCUGGCUAGAGUCCGGAAGAGGAGAGUGGAAUUCCUGGUGUAGCGGUGAAAUGCGCAGAUAUCAGGAAGAACACCCGUGGCGAAGGCGGCUCGCUGGGACGGAACUGACGCUAAGGCGCGAAAGCGUGGGGAGCGAACAGG